GACGAACGCUGGCGGCGUGCUUAACACAUGCAAGUCGAACGAUGAAACCUAGCUUGCUAGGUCGAUUAGUGGCGAACGGGUGAGUAACACGUGACUAACCUGCCCCUUUCUCUGGGAUAACGCUCCGAAAGGAGUGCUAAUACCGGAUACUCACAUCGAUGCACAUGCCUUGGUGUGGAAAGUUUUUCGGAAAGGGAUGGAGUCGCGGCCUAUCAGCUUGUGGGUGAGGUAACGGCUCACCAAGGCGACGACGGGUAGCCGGCCUGAGAGGGCGACCGGCCACACUGGGACUGAGACACGGCCCAGACUCCUACGGGAGGCAGCAGUGGGGAAUAUUGCACAAUGGGCGCAAGCCUGAUGCAGCGACGCCGCGUGAGGGAUGAAGGUCUUCGGAUUGUAAACCUCUUUCAGUAGGGACGAAGCGAAAGUGACGGUACCUAAAGAAGAAGCACCGGCUAACUACGUGCCAGCAGCCGCCGUAA
rnacentral:rRNA from 1 species